UAGGGAAUAUUGCAAAAUGGGCGAAAGCCCGAUGCAGCAGCGCCGCGUGGGCGAUGAAGGCCUUCGGGUCGUAAAGCCCUUUUUGAGGGGAUGAGGAAGGACAGUACCCUCAGAAUAAGCCUCGGCUACUACGUGCCAGCAGCCGCGGUAAAACGUAGGAGGCGAGCGUUAUCCGGAUUUACUGGGCGUAAAGCGCGUGCAGGCGGAUUGGAGAGUUGGAUGUGAAAGCUCCCGGCUUAACUUGGAGAGGUCGUUCAAUACUUCCAGUCUUGAGUGCAGUAGGGGGAAGUGGAAUUCCGGGUGUAGUGGUGAAAUGCGUAGAUAUCCGGAGGAACACCAGUGGCGAAAGCGGCUUCCUGGACUGUAACUGACGCUCAGACGCGAAAGCUAGGGUAGCAAACG
rnacentral:rRNA from 1 species